rnacentral:rRNA from 1 species
CCUACGGGAGGCAGCAGUAGGGAAUCUUCCACAAUGGGCGAAAGCCUGAUGGAGCAACGCCGCGUGGGUGAAGAAGGUCUUCGGAUCAUAAAACCCUGUUGUUAGAGAAGAAAGUGCGUGAGAGUAACUGUUCACGUUUCGACGGUAUCUAACCAGAAAGCCACGGCUAACUACGUGCCAGCAGCCGCGGUAAUACGUAGGUGGCAAGCGUUAUCCGGAUUGAUUGGGCGUAAAGGGAACGCAGGCGGUCUUUUAAGUCUGAUGUGAAAGCCUUCGGCUUAACCGGAGUAGUGCAUUGGAAACUGGGAGACUUGAGUGCAGAAGAGGAGAGUGGAACUCCAUGUGUAGCGGUGAAAUGCGUAGAUAUAUGGAAGAACACCAGUGGCGAAAGCGGCUCUCUGGUCUGUAACUGACGCUGAGGUUCGAAAGCGUGGGUAGCAAACAGGAUUAGAUACCCCGGUAGUC